rnacentral:rRNA from 1 species
GGUUAAGCGACUAAGCGUACACGGUGGAUGCCCUGGCAGUCAGAGGCGAUGAAGGACGUGCUAAUCUGCGAAAAGCGUCGGUAAGGUGAUAUGAACCGUUAUAACCGGCGAUGUCCGAAUGGGGAAACCCAGUGUGAUUCGUCACACUAUCGUUAACUGAAUACAUAGGUUAACGAGGCGAACCGGGGGAACUGAAACAUCUAAGUACCCCGAGGAAAAGAAAUCAACCGAGAUUCCCCCAGUAGCGGCGAGCGAACGGGGAGCAGCCCAGAGUCUGAAUCAGCUUGUGUGUUAGUGGAACGGUCUGGAAAGUCCGACGGUACAGGGUGAUAGUCCCGUACACCAAAAUGCACAGGCUGUGAACUCGAAGAGUAGGGCGGGACACGUGGUAUCCUGUCUGAAUAUGGGGGGACCAUCCUCCAAGGCUAAAUACUCCUGACUGACCGAUAGUGAACCAGUACCGUGAGGGAAAGGCGAAAAGAACCCCGGCGAGGGGAGUGAAAAAGAACCUGAAACCGUGUACGUACAAGCAGUGGGAGCACCUUCGGGUGUGACUGCGUACCUUUUGUAUAAUGGGUCAGCGACUUAUAUUCUGUAGCAAGGUUAACCGUAUAGGGGAGCCGCAGGGAAACCGAGUCUUAACUGGGCGUUAAGUUGCAGGGUAUAGACCCGAAACCCGGUGAUCUAGCCAUGGGCAGGUUGAAGGUUGGGUAACACUAACUGGAGGACCGAACCGACUAAUGUUGAAAAAUUAGCGGAUGACUUGUGGCUGGGGGUGAAAGGCCAAUCAAACCGGGAGAUAGCUGGUUCUCCCCGAAAGCUAUUUAGGUAGCGCCUCGUGAAUUCAUCUUCGGGGGUAGAGCACUGUUUCGGCUAGGGGGUCAUCCCGACUUACCAACCCGAUGCAAACUACGAAUACCGAAGAAUGUUAUCACGGGAGACACACGGCGGGUGCUAACGUCCGUCGUGAAGAGGGAAACAACCCAGACCGCCAGCUAAGGUCCCAAAGUCAUGGUUAAGUGGGAAACGAUGUGGGAAGGCACAGACAGCCAGGAUGUUGGCUUAGAAGCAGCCAUCAUUUAAAGAAAGCGUAAUAGCUCACUGGUCGAGUCGGCCUGCGCGGAAGAUGUAACGGGGCUAAACCAUGCACCGAAGCUGCGGCAGCGACACUAUGUGUUGUUGGGUAGGGGAGCGUUCUGUAAGCCUGCGAAGGUGACCUGUGAGGGUUGCUGGAGGUAUCAGAAGUGCGAAUGCUGACAUAAGUAACGAUAAAGCGGGUGAAAAGCCCGCUCGCCGGAAGACCAAGGGUUCCUGUCCAACGUUAAUCGGGGCAGGGUGAGUCGACCCCUAAGGCGAGGCCGAAAGGCGUAGUCGAUGGGAAACAGGUUAAUAUUCCUGUACUUGGUGUUACUGCGAAGGGGGACGGAGAAGGCUAUGUUAGCCGGGCGACGGUUGUCCCGGUUUAAGCAUGUAGGCUGGUUGUCCAGGCAAAUCCGGAUAAUCAAGGCUGAGGUGUGAUGACGAGGCACUACGGUGCUGAAGUAACAAAUGCCCUGCUUCCAGGAAAAGCCUCUAAGCAUCAGGUAACAUCAAAUCGUACCCCAAACCGACACAGGUGGUCAGGUAGAGAAUACCAAGGCGCUUGAGAGAACUCGGGUGAAGGAACUAGGCAAAAUGGUGCCGUAACUUCGGGAGAAGGCACGCUGGUGUGUAGGUGAAGCCCCUGCGGGUGGAGCUGAGACCAGUCGAAGAUACCAGCUGGCUGCAACUGUUUAUUAAAAACACAGCACUGUGCAAACACGAAAGUGGACGUAUACGGUGUGACGCCUGCCCGGUGCCGGAAGGUUAAUUGAUGGGUUAUCCGUAAGGAGAAGCUCUUGAUCGAAGCCCCGGUAAACGGCGGCCGUAACUAUAACGGUCCUAAGGUAGCGAAAUUCCUUGUCGGGUAAGUUCCGACCUGCACGAAUGGCGUAAUGAUGGCCAGGCUGUCUCCACCCGAGACUCAGUGAAAUUGAACUCGCUGUGAAGAUGCAGUGUACCCGCGGCAAGACGGAAAGACCCCGUGAACCUUUACUAUAGCUUGACACUGAACAUUGAGCCUUGAUGUGUAGGAUAGGUGGGAGGCUUUGAAGCGUGGACGCCAGUCUGCGUGGAGCCAACCUUGAAAUACCACCCUUUAAUGUUUGAUGUUCUAACGUUGGCCCCUUAUCGGGGUUGCGGACAGUGUCUGGUGGGUAGUUUGACUGGGGCGGUCUCCUCCCAAAGCGUAACGGAGGAGCACGAAGGUUAGCUAAUCCUGGUCGGACAUCAGGAGGUUAGUGCAAUGGCAUAAGCUAGCUUGACUGCGAGCGUGACGGCGCGAGCAGGUGCGAAAGCAGGUCAUAGUGAUCCGGUGGUUCUGAAUGGAAGGGCCAUCGCUCAACGGAUAAAAGGUACUCCGGGGAUAACAGGCUGAUACCGCCCAAGAGUUCAUAUCGACGGCGGUGUUUGGCACCUCGAUGUCGGCUCAUCACAUCCUGGGCUGAAGUAGGUCCCAAGGUAUGGCUGUUCGCCAUUUAAAGUGGUACGCGAGCUGGGUUUAGAACGUCGUGAGACAGUUCGGUCCCUAUCUGCCGUGGGCGCUGGAGAAUUGAGGGGGGCUGCUCCUAGUACGAGAGGACCGGAGUGGACGCAUCACUGGUGUUCGGGUUGUCAUGCCAAUGGCACUGCCCGGUAGCUAAAUGCGGAAGAGAUAAGUGCUGAAAGCAUCUAAGCACGAAACUUGCCCCGAGAUGAGUUCUCCCUGAGACUUUAAGUCUCCUGAAGGAACGUUAAAGACGAUGACGUUGAUAGGCCGGGUGUGUAAGCGCAGCGAUGCGUUGAGCUAACCGGUACUAAUGAACCGUGAGGCUUAACCUU